GGGGAGUGUCACCCCCCAAACUUGUGCGAGCCGCUUCCUCUGGGAACAAUCACCCUUUCUCCCCCCCGCCUUGGAUCGGAUCCCGAUGGAAACUCAUCAAGGCCUCCUAAGUGGUCAGAGGGACUGACACCCCCUGUGGAACAGGCUGCUGCCCAGAGGGCAGAGGUUACCACAAACACAGGUGCUGAAGUGAACACUGACUCAUGAAGCUCUGCAUGCAGGGCCCAGGUGGGCUUGGAUUCUUGCUGACCUACAAAGAAUUCCCACAUCGUGGCCAGUUUUCAGCUGGCAUAGAUACACGGGGUUCUUCCUGACCUCACAGUUUGGAGUUCUUUCAUGAAGAAUGACAUUUUCUGUCCAUAAGGAUGAAUGUUUUCAAAGAAUCUCAACAUCUGUAACAAAAACAAAACCCCCCAAAUGACAAGAGCAACAACAACAACAAAACAAACAACAAAAAAACCCCCUAGGGCCUUGUGGAAAACAUUCUGGGCUGUGGGAGAGAAAUCCUAUAGUUCAUGUCCUGCCUUUCAAAUGUGCUUUCACAUGUGACUUUAAGCAAAUUACUUGAUCUCUCUAGCUCUGUAUGUACAUGAGCUCAGCAAUAUUUUUUAAUCUAUGGAUACCCAGGAAAUAGCAGUCUUAUCAGUGCUUCUUUAUUCUGUUACAGUUUAGAUAAAACUAUCUUUAUAGAGGUUUAAUAGUGUUUAAGACAAAAUGGAUUUUAUACACAAGUUACAUUUAUUUCAAGAAAACAAAUGGAAGAAGAAAAUAUCUAUGAAUUUUCAGCUUAUCUGGACAAAGACUUUUAUUAGCUGUUUCCUGGGUAACUUUUUGCAAGAAACCUUUAAAGAUAACUUUGUUUUUGGGAGUACAGAAUCUUGAAAUAUGACAAAGGCUGCUGAGAAGUCUUAAUACAAAGGAACAAUGUAUCCCAAGGAAGCUUUCACGAUGUCACCUCUACGGCUGAAUCUCUGAGGAAAAAAAAAAUACUCUGCAAAGAAAAGCACAGCAAGAGAGCAAAGAUAAUCAGAUGUAUUAACACCCAGAGUUAGCAACAUCAAAGUGGGUAGGUCCUGGUUUGGUUCUGUUGGAUGUGCUUUGGGUUUUUUUCCUGAGACCCUGCACUAAGCUCAGUAACUCUUCUACAGACGGAAGAUUCAAGAGCAAGAGGGAACAUUUUGCCUUCCUCCACAGCAGCCUUUCUGAAGUAGAUUAGAUGUGCCAUGAGAGAUGAUGCAGGGUGAUCUGCAGAAGGAGAUGAUACAAUUAACAACCACCAAUAGAAAGGAGAAGAAGUCAAUAAAUAUUUCUAUUUCAUUACUGUAAACUGGAAAGAAUAAUGUACUUGCACAACACAAAGAUAAAGUACCUUUCAGUUCACACAUCAUCUACUGAGGGUAAGCAAUGAGGAAUUUGUGUGACCCAGAUGACUUGCACAUCA